rnacentral:rRNA from 1 species
UGGGGAAUAUUGGACAAUGGGCGCAAGCCUGAUCCAGCCAUGCCGCGUGGGUGAAGAAGGCCCUAGGGUUGUAAACCCCUUUCAGCGGGGAAGAUAAUGACGGUACCCGCAGAAGAAGCCCCGGCUAACUCCGUGCCAGCAGCCGCGGUAAUACGGAGGGGGCUAGCGUUGUUCGGAAUUACUGGGCGUAAAGCGCACGUAGGCGGACCAGCCAGUCAGAGGUGAAAGGCCAGGGCUCAACCUUGGAACUGCCUUUGAUACUGUUGGUCUGGAGUUCGGGAGAGGUGUGUGGAAUUCCGAGUGUAGAGGUGAAAUUCGUAGAUAUUCGGAGGAACACCAGAGGCGAAGGCGACACACUGGACCGAUACUGACGCUGAGGUGCGAAAGCGUGGGGAGCAAACAGGAUUAGAUACCCCCGUAGUCC